rnacentral:lncRNA from 1 species
AUGUAUACGUGUUCCCAGCGUGUGUGCACAUUUACAUUAAAAUCAGCCACGAGAGGAAACCCCUUUUAUGAGAGCUGUGGAAACUGUAAACACUGUAUCACUGUGCCGCUGAGGCACUUGUGUUGCAAUGAUUUUGUGAAGAGAAGACCAGAGAAGGGAAGAGAAGCCCAAAUACAUAUCUGCCUAAGGCAGUUCCAUGCAGGUGUCGCAGUGCCAGGAAAUAUUUUCUACACAUGGAAGACAAUAUCAGCUGUCAGACAGAGCAGAGAGAAAACACAAAUCAAGACACCAGCGAUGUUGUAUUUGCUGGGGUUUUCUUCCAUUUUACUGGCAGUUUUGACAUGCCAUGCUUGAUGCCUUCAUGUGUCUGCCACUUUAGAACAGAGAUGUUCACAGGUCUUCUUUUGCAAGUCCAAGUCAAGUCUCAAGUCUUUGGUCACGAGUCCAAGCCAAGUCUCUAGUCUUUGUGGGGUGAGACUUGGACAAGUCUCAAGUCUUUGGUCACGAGUCCAAGUCAAGUCUCAAGUCUCUAAAAAAUAAAAGUCAUAUGUCUCUUCUGGUUGUAAUGAGCCUUCUGUCAUCUGCUGCUAUCCGGUCUACUAAGAACACAAAAUUAAUACCAUUCAGAUGCUGGUAAAUCAUGCAAGUGGCUUGUGCUGUAUGCUGCACUCACCAACCAAAGAGUGGCUGGUAAAAUUUCAACCUUCACUAGUCUAGCCAUUUUGCCAGUGGACAAAAAAGUUAAAGGUUUGCACUCUGCAACCGUAUUGUUUAAUUACACUGGGUCUCUAAUGACACAUUCCUCUAUCCUCUCACUCAAACUCAGUGUAAUGGUAACCUGGUAAACCUGUAACAUUAACGUUACGUGGUCAACAAUUAACCUGUAACCUGCCUGUAAGCCGACAGUUUAACUAUGUAUUUUUCUACGGUUAACAUUAGCCAGUAGAUGGUGGCAACGUAGAUGAUUAACGUUACCCGACCUUUUUUUUUUUUUACGUCAUGUCAACGCCACUCAAUGCAAACAAGUGCAACAAGCAAACUAACAUUCACUCAUCUAUUCAAAUAUUCAGUCACAAAGCUAGUAGUAAGCUAAGUGAACGUUAUAUAGCUGAUGCUGAGCUAACCGUCCAUAUGUGCUAAUGUGACUGACCUAUCCGGGUGAGUUUUCAGGUGCCUGAUAAAAUUUGAUGUGGUGGAUCCAGCAUCCUUGAUUCGGGUACUGCAGACUUUGCAGCCAGCGCUCUUUUUGUUGGUGC